CUAGAUAGCGGCGAACGGGUGAGUAAUGCCUAGGAAUCUGCCUGAUAGUGGGGGAUAACGUUCGGAAACGAACGCUAAUACCGCAUACGUCCUACGGGAGAAAGGGGGCUUUAUUGCUCUCGCUAACAGAUGAGCCUAGGUCAGAUUAGCUAGUUGGUAGGGUAAAGGCCUACCAAGGCGACGAUCUGUAGCGGGUCUGAGAGGAUGAUCCGCCACACUGGAACUGAGACACGGUCCAGACUCCUACGGGAGGCAGCAGUGGGGAAUAUUGGACAAUGGGCGAAAGCCUGAUCCAGCCAUGCCGCGUGUGUGAAGAAGGGCCUUUUGGUUGUAAAGCAC
rnacentral:rRNA from 1 species